GGUCCGGUGGCCGAGGCGAUAACGGCGCUGGUUUCACAAGGCAAGAGUGGGGCUCGAAUCCCAUCCGGACCG
rfam:Anopheles minimus strain MINIMTS1 unplaced genomic scaffold supercont1.12, whole genome shotgun sequence.